CACAAAAAAGAUAGUGAAAUGAUUAGAGCAGAAUCCAAGCUAUAGGAAUACGGGUGAUUACUAGAAAAUUCUGUUGACUUUACUAUAAGUUUAACAAUUGGCAAAAUGUAAGAGUAUAUAAUUAAAGCAAUAGAAUCUUCAGUGAGUGUUUUAUUGUUUAUUUAUUUGAGAAAGGGUCUCAGUAUGCAGUCCUGGUUGAUCUGGAAUGGCUUAUGUAGACCAGGCUGGCCUUGAACUCUUCUUCUGACUUUGUCUCCUGAGUGCUAUGAGCAUUGUUGUGUGCCUCUGUGCUUGCCUCAUAUCUUUUAUCUUAAGGAGCCCAGGAACAUGUCCAUGAAUACAUGAAAAUUUGGUGUUUGACAGUAGCAUUACAAAGUUAUGAAGAAUUACAAACUCUUUAACAAACGGUAGUAGGAAAAAUUAGAUUUCUACCUCAACUAGCGGCCUCAUCUUUUCCAUUGGGCUGUGAGAGCCUUGAGGGCGGGACUAGGUCUAUUUCCCCCAUUAUAACCUCAGAGGCUGGUGCUUACUGGGGGGCAGCUGAUAUCCGUUGAAUGGGGAUUUUAGUCCUGGAAGAUACUCUAUGGCUCGUGGGCUCCUGGCACCUGUCAAAGACUGGAGGAAAGCCCACAGAGCUGAACUCUGACUCCACCCCUUCCUUCCCUGCUCCUCAUGACCUGAGCUAAAGCAACUGUGGAACACCCUGCACUGACUAUUGAUUGCAGAUCAGAAAACUUAAUGCCCAAAGAAGAAGAGCAAGUUAUUUCACAGAGUCAAAUUUGGCAAAGAUACACUCAACUACUUUCACAUAUUGAUUUGGAGACUUUCAUAGUCUGGGUACAUACUGCACUUGGAUUCUGGUCAGUCAUGUGCUUAUUCUCAGCACGCCAAUAAGGAAAUGAAAGAGCUGCAUUUGAAUUAUAGAUCCUGUACUUGGAAGUUGCAUUUUGACUGUUAAAUCAAUCAGAAUGUGUUUUGCUCAACAAUAUUGUAAAUGCCAGUGUUUAACAUUGUUGAUCUGAAUGAAAUGCAUCUUCUUUCUAGUAGUUCCCUAAUUCUCCAAGAAUUCAGUUUUUCCAUAUUGUGAGUUUUAGAUCAACCAGCUGCAAAUGUAUAAAUGACUUUCAGGAAUGUCAAUUACAUCAAUUUUAAUGCUGUGAAUAAAAUAUUUGAUGCCUAAUAGA